UACGGAGGAUGCGAGCGUUAUCCGGAUUUAUUGGGUUUAAAGGGUGCGCAGGCGGCGUGUCAAGCAAGCGGUAAAAUAGCGGGGCUCAACCCCGUCGAGCCGUUUGAACUGGCGCGCUUGAGUUCAGACGAGGUAGGCGGAAUAAGUUAAGUAGCGGUGAAAUGCUUAGAUAUAACUUAGAACUCCGAUAGCGAAGGCAGCUUACCAGACUGCGACUGACGCUGAAGCACGAGAGCGUGGGUAGCGAACAGG
rnacentral:rRNA from 1 species